UGGCAAGUCGACCAAAGGCGAAAGCAGUCAUCAAGGGCACACCCGUUGAUCAAGAGCGAAAGUUAAGGGUUCGAAGACGAUCAGAUACCGUCGUAGUCUUAACUAUAAAUGAUACUGGCCAGGGAUGGGAUACUGUCCAUCUCGACUCUUCCUGGACCUUGGAGAAAUUAGAGUCUUUGAGUUCUGGGGGGAGUAUGGUCGCAAGGCUGAAACUUAAAGGAAUUGACGGAAGGGCACACAAAGAGUGGAACCUGCGGCUUAAUUUGACCCAACACGGGAAAACUCACCAGGUCCGGAUACACGUAUGAAAGACAAGCUGAAAGACUUUUCUCAAUGAUGUAAGUGGUGGUGCAUGGUCGUUCUUAGUUCGUGGAGUGGUUUGUCUGGUCUAUUCCGAUAACGAGCGAGACCCCGGCGUUCCUAAUAGGGGCGGCAGCCCGGCUUGCCCGGCCCUCACGGGCUGGGCUCGCUAGCAGCCGCCUUAAACAUUGCUUCUUAGACGUAUCAGAGCCGAUAAGGUUCUUGAAAUGGGUUAAUAACAGGUCAGUCAUGCCCUUAGAUGUUCUGGGCCGCACGCGCGUUACAAUGGCAUGCUUAAAGAGUGCUCAAAAGGGCGUAUCCGUGGCCUAACGGUCAUGGUAACCCCUAGUCCCUGCCUUGACUGGGACAGACUAUUGCAAUUAUUGGUCUCGAACGAGGAAUUUUUAGUAGUCGCAGGUCAUUAGCCUGCGACGAAUGCGUCCCUGCCCUUUGUACACACCGCC
rnacentral:rRNA from 1 species